GGAGGUUUAAGACGGAUUCGUGU
rnacentral:siRNA from 1 species